CCCUCCCAUCAGCCCACCCACCGCAGUGGAUCUAGUGCUGCCUUAUGAAGUGGCCACAGUGCUUUAUGGCAGCGGUACUACUUCCUUAAGCCUUAGGAACCAGUGGCUGUACACUGCCCUCUCGCCGUCAAAGGAAAGAAAAUGUGUAAGCCAUCAUAAAAAAGAAAAAUCAGCUAUGGAUAUCCUUUAUUACAAAUCUGGCCUGUGACGACUGAGGAGAGAAGCAAGGACGCAAAGUAUGGAAUUACAAAGCGACCACCAGAGAGAGAGCUCACGACCCCCAAGAAAGCCCACACAUACGCCGACAAGGACAACAGAUGUCACAACGGGGAAUGGAAACUAGAUGUCACAACAGGGAAUGGAAACUAGACGUCACAACGGGGUAUAGAAACUUGGAGGGGACUAAUGAAAACUGCUGAAAAAUGCUUAUGAAUAUGUAUAAAUAUUUGCAAAACUAGCAGUUGGUGUGCGUGUUGGUAGAGCGCAGACUCCUCGUGCACGCAGCGCUGUUUGCUUGCUUUUUGCCGAACAUAAAUUAAUAAAUAAUUAACAUUUUGAUUUGAA